UACGUAGGGUGCAAGCGUUGUCCGGAAUUAUUGGGCGUAAAGAGCGUGUAGGCGGCCAGGUAGGUCUGCUGUGAAAACUCGAGGCUCAACCUCGAGACGUCGGCGGAAACCAUCUGGCUAGAGUCCGGAAGAGGAGAGUGGAAUUCCGUGGUGUAGCGGUGAAAUGCGCAGAUAUCAGGAAGAACACCCGUGGCGAAGGCGGCUCCUCUGGAACGCAACUGACGCUGAGACGCGAAAGCGUGGGGGAGCAAACAGG
rnacentral:rRNA from 1 species